rnacentral:rRNA from 2 species
UACGGAGGGUCCGAGCGUUAAUCGGAAUUACUGGGCGUAAAGCGCGCGUAGGUGGUUCAGUCAGUCAGAUGUGAAAGCCCCGGGCUCAACCUGGGAAUUGCACCUGAUACUGCUGAGCUAGAGUACGGUAGAGGGUAGUGGAAUUUCCGGUGUAGCGGUGAAAUGCGUAGAGAUCGGAAGGAACACCAGUGGCGAAGGCGACUACCUGGACCGAUACUGACACUGAGGUGCGAAAGCGUGGGUAGCAAACAGG